AACGAACGCUGGCGGCAUGCCUAACACAUGCAAGUCGAACGAGACCUUCGGGUCUAGUGGCGCACGGGUGCGUAACGCGUGGGAACCUGCCCUUAGGUUCGGAAUAACUCCCCGAAAGGGGUGCUAAUACCGGAUAAUGUCUUCGGACCAAAGAUUUAUCGCCUUUGGAUGGGCCCGCGUUGGAUUAGCUAGUUGGUAGGGUAAAAGCCUACCAAGGCGACGAUCCAUAGCUGGUCUGAGAGGAUGAUCAGCCACACUGGGACUGAGACACGGCCCAGACUCCUACGGGAGGCAGCAGUGGGGAAUAUUGGACGAUGGGCGAAAGCCUGAUCAAGCAAUGCCGCGUGAGUGAUGAAGGCCUUAGGGUUGUAAAGCUGUUUUACCCGGGAUGAGAAUGACAGUACCGGGAGAAGAAGCUCCGGCUAACUCCGUG
rnacentral:rRNA from 1 species